rnacentral:rRNA from 1 species
UAGUGGCGAACGGGUGAGUAACACGUGGGCAAUCUGCCCUUCACUCUGGGACAAGCCCUGGAAACGGGGUCUAAUACCGGAUACGACCCGCCUCCGCAUGGGGGUGGGUGGAAAGCUCCGGCGGUGAAGGAUGAGCCCGCGGCCUAUCAGCUUGUUGGUGGGGUAACGGCCCACCAAGGCGACGACGGGUAGCCGGCCUGAGAGGGCGACCGGCCACACUGGGACUGAGACACGGCCCAGACUCCUACGGGAGGCAGCAGUGGGGAAUAUUGCACAAUGGGCGAAAGCCUGAUGCAGCGACGCCGCGUGAGGGAUGACGGCCUUCGGGUUGUAAACCUCUUUCAGCAGGGAAGAAGCGAAAGUGACGGUACCUGCAGAAGAAGCGCCGGCUAACUACGUGCCAGCAGCCGCGGUAAUACGUAGGGCGCAAGCGUUGUCCGGAAUUAUUGGGCGUAAAGAGCUCGUAGGCGGCUUGUCACGUCGGGUGUGAAAGCCCGGGGCUUAACCCCGGGUCUGCAUCCGAUACGGGCAGGCUAGAGUGUGGUAGGGGAGAUCGGAAUUCCU